rnacentral:rRNA from 1 species
GACGAACGCUGGCGGCGUGCUUAACACAUGCAAGUCGAACGGAAAGGCCCUGCUUUUGUGGGGUGCUCGAGUGGCGAACGGGUGAGUAACACGUGAGUAACCUGCCCUUGACUUUGGGAUAACUUCAGGAAACUGGGGCUAAUACCGGAUAGGAGCUCCUGCCGCAUGGUGGGGAUUGGAAAGUUUCGGCGGUUGGGGAUGGACUCGCGGCUUAUCAGCUUGUUGGUGGGGUAGUGGCUUACCAAGGCUUUGACGGGUAGCCGGCCUGAGAGGGUGACCGGCCACAUUGGGACUGAGAUACGGCCCAGACUCCUACGGGAGGCAGCAGUGGGGAAUAUUGCACAAUGGGCGGAAGCCUGAUGCAGCAACGCCGCGUGCGGGAUGACGGCCUUCGGGUUGUAAACCGCUUUCGCCUGUGACGAAGCGUGAGUGACGGUAAUGGGUAAAGAAGCACCGGCUAACUACGUGCCAGCAGCCGCGGUGAUACGUAGGGUGCGAGCGUUGUCCGGAUUUAUUGGGCGUAAAGGGCUCGUAGGUGGUUGAUCGCGUCGGAAGUGUAAUCUUGGGGCUUAACCCUGAGCGUGCUUUCGAUACGGGUUGACUUGAGGAAGGUAGGGGAGAAUGGAAUUCCUGGUGGAGCGGUGGAAUGCGCAGAUAUCAGGAGGAACACCAGUGGCGAAGGCGGUUCUCUGGGCCUUUCCUGACGCUGAGGAGCGAAAGCGUGGGGAGCGAACAGGCUUAGAUACCCUGGUAGUCCACGCUGUAAACGGUGGGUACUAGGUGUGGGGUCCAUUCCACGGGUUCCGUGCCGUAGCUAACGCUUUAAGUACCCCGCCUGGGGAGUACGGCCGCAAGGCUAAAACUCAAAGGAAUUGACGGGGCCCCGCACAAGCGGCGGAGCAUGCGGAUUAAUUCGAUGCAACGCGUAGAACCUUACCUGGGUUUGACAUGGAUCGGGAGUGCUCAGAGAUGGGUGUGCCUCUUUUGGGGUCGGUUCACAGGUGGUGCAUGGCUGUCGUCAGCUCGUGUCGUGAGAUGUUGGGUUAAGUCCCGCAACGAGCGCAACCCUUGUUCACUGUUGCCAGCACGUUAUGGUGGGGACUCAGUGGAGACCGCCGGGGUCAACUCGGAGGAAGGUGGGGAUGACGUCAAGUCAUCAUGCCCCUUAUGUCCAGGGCUUCACGCAUGCUACAAUGGCUGGUACAGAGAGUGGCGAGCCUGUGAGGGUGAGCGAAUCUCGGAAAGCCGGUCUCAGUUCGGAUUGGGGUCUGCAACUCGACCUCAUGAAGUCGGAGUCGCUAGUAAUCGCAGAUCAGCAACGCUGCGGUGAAUACGUUCCCGGG